GGUAUGUGCACAGUGGGGCAAUGUUGCUGCGAAGGUAUGUAAAUGUUGGAAGUUCUAAGCAAUCGGAAAUUUGAACAAUAUUCACACUGGUAAACUUAGGUGCCCAGGUUUGGGUAGAUUGCACUGCACUUGCCCCACUGUGCAUACUUGUUGUCUCUGCGGCUAGCUUUUGGGCCAGUGUGGCGGAACUUUUGAGAAACCGAAAACUGGUUUUCGUGCUUGGGCCCAUUGUAGACUCGAAGUCUCUCUGUCUGUUUGUUGCUGGUAUUCUUGGUUUCUUUUUCACUCUGACUCGCGCGUCGUCUCUCUUUGAGCUCUACUUGUUGUUGCCUUGCCGCGCUACUGCUGUGGUUUGCCUUUGUUGCUGUUGCUUUUGCGCUUUUGACUUUGUAACACACUUUUUUUGUGUGUUGAUUUCGCCCGCCGCUGCUGCGCUGCUAUGUGACUUUUGAUUUUAAUAGUUUUUUCGCUGGUUUUUUUCUCAUGUUUUUUUUCAAUGAUUUCGGUUGCUCUUUUUCCACAGUCCACUAACAGUGCAUGCUCUUCUGCGUGUAUGAGAGUGUUUUUUUUAUUUCGUGGGAAUUUCAACGGUUCCCAAAGCCAGCAAAAAGGUCAGGUGUGUCGGUGUAAGAGAAUUUCAAGAUGUUUCUUUGAAUUUACUGUUAUUUACCUGGAACCCAACAUAACCUCACACUGCCUCCCAUGCACCCUCUCUAAUUGGCUAAAAUCGUCUAUUGAACCUAUUAGCAAAGGCACGAGGUACGAAGCAGGGGGCUAGAGAAUCCAAUAAAGCGCAGGGUCGCGCAAAAUGCAGAAAUGGAAGUGCAUCCCACCCAACCCACUACCUUAAGUGGGAAUAGAGUGAUUUCCCGCUAAACUGCACUCAAUGGAGGUGAAACGGAAGCGGUGGAGCAGUAUACGGGAGGCAGAAGAGGGUUGGGCUUCACGCCCCAAUUGAAUGGUUUGACACGCGAGCGAAUCGCAGGCAAAAAAAACCGCUGGCGCAGCGAUGACGAAAAUGUUAAGGAACCAACAACACGAAAUACAUCAGCAACAACAACAAAUGAAAAACUAACACAAAACAGCAACAACGACGAACAGCAGAAAGUUGAAUGACAUAAAACAUCAACUGACCUUCAACUCUGAGACUGAACCUUAGAAAAAAAUGAAUAAUUUUACACUCACCAACAUACAGACACAGCCAAACACACACAUCACACGGCAAGAGAUACAGAGGGAGAAGCAUAGGUAUGCAAAUCUGUAGUGUGAGAGACGACAACGACAAGCAGCGGCAGCGGCGGCGCAUGCAACUUUACAGCUUUUACAACGCUCUUCUCGAGGCUGUCGGCGAGAGCGAGCGUGAGAGAGUGUGGAAUGGGGGAGAGCGAAAACGGCAAAGCGCAGUGAGCCAUGGCGAAAAUUGCUGUUGCAACGAAAUCCCUACACCACCCUUCACUCCCCCAAUACGGACAAACAUACUCCCAUACAGAUGAGCGCCCAAUUGUUCAUGAUACCCAUAUGCACUAGAGAUGGAAGAAUGUGGCGAUGAAUCACGAAACAAGGUGCACUUAUCAUAUAGAUCGGAAACUGUAAAUUAGUUGGAUUAUAGAUGGCAGAUUAUUAUCUUAAACAAAUGAUUGAGUGUUAACAUUUAAUAUGCUACUUUAAUGAACACUCACUACAAAUUGAAUGGUCAGUGUCUAUAAUUGACCUAGAUAUCGACAUGGAUAACCGAUGGAUGCUCAGAGUGGCCCAUCUCUGAGAGAGCAGUGCCGAGCAGAGAGAGUGCAUGUCAUUUGCGAUGACGUAAAUAGCGGCGCGGCCAUACUUUGCCGAUGCUUGCUCUUGCACUUGGCGGCGACUGCGGCGCCAACAGCAACUGCAGCAGCGGCUGCGAAAGGGAACUUUGUCAGGGGCCUGAGAGCCUGCGCCUUGCCGAAGGAGAGCGCCAACUACCCGUGCAACUACAACUAUUACGAAGAGUAGGAGAGAACAGAGUGGCGCGGCGGCCUAUUUCUCGGUGCAUGCUUAUUUUUGGCAGUGGCAGAGCAGCGGCAGAGGUGCAUUCACUCUCGUUUCGACGCUGUCGUUAUUCUUCUUUUCGUUUUUAAAAUAGUUUUGUUUUGUUUUUUAUUUUUGUGGGUUUUGUUUUAGGGCGUUGUACAAUUGAGCAGUUGCAACGGAUACAUCAUGUGAUGACGAGGAGAGAGAGGCAAUGAAAAAGGGAAAGCUUGCACUACGGCGAGGUGAGGUGUGGGAGCGGCUGUUACAAUGUAACGCAUGCAUGACAUUUCCACCUGUGUAAAUGACAUAUGGUAGGUAGGUCAAUUUUUGUUAUUAGAUGAGAUCGCAGAUGGGGUCUGGUCUGGUUAGGCUAGAAGAAAAUGUUGUUUUGAAUAGAUCGAUAACUGUAGCUUGGACUGUUCUAUAAAUUAUUAGCAGUAAUUCAAGUACACAACACAUCGUUUUUAUGUAUAGAUUGAGUGGCUUUGAUAAAUUAUAGUGCAAUUCUACAUUCUUUUCUGAUAUCCCACAGAAGGCAGUUAUUGAAUGAAGCACGAUAUAAAAUCUUAACCGCAGAGCGGAAAACAAUCCCCAAUCAAACCUCAUUGACACGAGUCCUUCAGCAUGCCAGUCCACCUCCUUGUUUUAUUGAUGUUUUAAGCGACAGACAUUUCCUCAUGUUUUAUGCAUGCUACCAGACAAUUCCCCGGACAUUGAAUUCCUUCACUUAAGCGAUGAAUAUGAGGCUGAGGGUGGGGUGAGAAUGGGGGGGACAAGUGUUUAAAAGUUCAAAGCUUUCAAGACUAACACACAAACACACCCCGUUCCGCUGCCAGGGCAAAACGCCCACAUGGACGCCUUGGGGGGCGAGCAUGACGCUGCAUUCCCAGCUGCAUCCUUGACCCAAACAAUGCGCCAAUUUGUGGGCCAAUGGCUGGGGGCGGGGGUGGUGCUGGCAUCUAGGGGUCGGGCAGAGCCUAACGAAGUGAAAAGUUAAGUUGAAUGCAAAGAAAAUCACUGCCGUUAUGGGGGACAGGGGUUGCUGCGGGGCCUGGCAAUGACCAAAUGGAAAGGUCUACCAUCUGCCAGCCAUCAUGGCGACGCUGAGGCAAAGACGCGCCCCCCCCCCCCCCCCCCCCCCCCCCCCCCAGUCUCAGUUUCAGUCUCGACAAGCCGUUAAAUGGAAUUGAAAAUGUUGCAGAAAAUCAAUAAAUUUCACUUGUGCCGCUGCACAAGACUGCCACAAAUUUCAUUUUCAACUUUUGGCACGCCCGCUGUUAGCCAGGUUUACAAAACGUUUCUUAGCUAUUCCCUUUUUUGCCCAUGUUUUAUGGCCUGCAUUAGGUAGUCAGUGCCAGUGACAGUCAGCCCCAGGCCAGACAAGAGCCUAAGAAAGCGCAGACAUACAUAGUUAAGGGAGUGCAAACCCCCAAUAUGAUGUCACGCCGUUGAAGUCAAAGGGGAUGGAGAAAAGACAGGAGUGGCACAAGUCCGACCCAGCAUAAGCGCCAUGGAAAAUUCUGAAUACUCUUUGGCCUAAGACAACACUCGCCAAACAGCCUGUGGUCUGUGGGGCUCAGGUGCGUGAUGGGAAUAGAAACGGAGCCGAAAAGUUUGUUCGCAAUAAGAGCAAAAUUUAAAAUUGAAACCCGCCCCAUGAGAACCAACAGCUGCAGGACGUGGUCUAUCCCCUAGAGUACUCUUAAAACGAGGCAAACAACUUGUAAUGUAACAACCGGAAGUGAGGUGAGAGCUGGAGGGGAAUGCAGCGGAAACGAACAUAGCGACCGGGCCUCCGCUGUCCAUCAUGGCUGUUUCCGUCUAGCAAAUAUUUAACAUUUCAGUACAGAGCUUACUUACCCUUAAAUAAUAGCAAAAUCAAACUAUAAUGAGGCUCCAUAAAAGCAACAAAAAAUCAUUAAAUCAUCGUAUUCUUCUUUGUACAAAACUAGUUUAUGAUUAUGAUACUUCUGCUAAUGACGUCAGUAAUAUACAUAUGAGUGUUCAAGUCAAUGAGCUUGCAUAAAUUAUAAGAGUCUUACUAUAGCCAGAGCGCCCCAACAGAUCUUCGACAAGCUCAAGCACAUCAUUUGUUGAAAGCUCGUAUAAAUGUGAUGAUGGAACAUCAAAUUAUAAGAUACAAACGAUAUUUUUCAAUUUCUAAACAGCCAAGCGGCUUCUAUGUGUCACUAUGCCAAUCGUUCUCAACCGGUCCUGUGGCGCAAUGGAUAACGCGUCUGACUACGGAUCAGAAGAUUCCAGGUUCGACUCCUGGCAGGAUCGCAGAUAUCAACUUUUUUUCAUCUUUCUUUUUUAGCGUUAAAUAUAUUUGAAUGGAAGGUUGCAUUAUCUCUCACAGGCCGCGGUAUUUUCUUGGAAAUGUACAAAAAGAAAUAGCCGCCCCCGGGUGGACUCGAACCACCAACCUUUCGGUUAACAGCCGAACGCGCUAACCAAUUGCGCCACGGAGGCCAUGUAAUAGGUCUAAAUUGUACCUUUAAAAUAGAGUCCUCCAUCAAAGUGUUAAACUUUCGAAAGAAAGGCAGCUCAGGACUACCAUUUCUUUUCAGAUUAUUCUUUGUAGUUUGUUUUCUGAACAAAUUUAGUAGAAUUUAACGAUGUUUCAGCAGCCUCCGUGGCGCAAUUGGUUAGCGCGUUCGGCUGUUAACCGAAAGGUUGGUGGUUCGAGUCCACCCGGGGGCGGAAAUACCUUUUUUGUAAUGUUAAACUAAACCAUAGUUAUGAAAUUAAUUUCCUUGAGCAAAAUGAUAUUAUACAAGAGGGGCAAGCUUUAUCUAUGUGCCAUCUUAGUAAAAAAAUAUGGGCACUUAAACAGAUCUUACAGCAUUUUACGAACUAUUCUUCCAAGUUCUGAAGAAAGUCUCAUAUUUAGAGAGACAUUCGGACAAAAUGAAAAUGUGACGCGGGGUUGUCAUCGGCCUCCGUGGCGCAAUUGGUUAGCGCGUUCGGCUGUUAACCGAAAGGUUGGUGGUUCGAGUCCACCCGGGGGCGGCACAACAUUUUUUUCCAAUUUUUCUGAUUUUUAUUUCGAUAUUAGUAGUGAAGAAGCUCUUCUAUAAAGCAAGCAAAGGUGGAAUCGCGUUAAAGCUGAUAUCAAUCCAAGGUCGCAUUCACGAAACCAGCAGAGCAGCUCGUUGUGUUUUAUGUUUUGCAACUUCCUCUCUUCUACCGCUCCCUUCCUCUUCUGACUACGAUUCCAGUUGUGGAUCCAGUUUGUACAAUAACAUUUUGAGCGCUGGGUCAGUCAGUCCGCUGCGAAUUUAUGCAGUGCAAUGGACUGGAGGCGAUCCUACUGCAUUUAUGUAAAGCGUUUCGUCACGAUUCGCGCUGAAGGAGGAAAUAGCAAAUGAAUUGGAAUCAGCGGAAUCGGCAGAUGGGAUGAUGAGUUGUGUUACAGCCCCUGAAAAACCCUCAGCAUGGUGAAUAAGAAGCGCAGGGAAGGGGAGAGAGAAACUACACAUAUAUUUUUCAUGGCUAGUUUUCUGAAAUCUCACGUCGCCCAAUUAGAACCCUCAUGGCAUACAAAAGCAAUAAUAAAUAACAGCGUCUAAUGGCAACUAUAACAAGUAUGGGCCCACCAUGCAUGCAUACUACAUAUUUAAAUGGGGGUACAGUCCAUAAUAUCAUUGUAAGCCGACUUCGAUAACUUUUGAACAUAAAAAAAGCUGCCUCGAAUCGGUUAGAUGUGGUUAUAUAUUCCUAUAAUCUAUAGAUCUACUCAAGAGUCAAAGCAAUCAUUAGCUAAAAUUAAGUUCCCAUAAAUGUAUACCAUUAUAUAAUUAUUGCAAGCACUGUCUGUAUGCCAUCUUGUUAGCAAGUACAUCAAAAUAUUGCAACGUUUUGUUUUAGCUCUGCCCACAAAUUCGCUUUGAUUGCAGUGCAUUAACCGCAUUUUGCGCCAUAUAAACAAAAUAGUCGACAUCUCAUAUAGGAAACCAUAUCUAUACUAAAUAUACUAUACUGCUAAAUAGUCUCUGUAUAUAUGUAUGUGUGUGUGUGGUUUUAUUUUUAAGGUUAAGUUCAGUCAUUCGCCUCGUUUCGUUUUAUUUGCAUGACAAACAAAACGUUUUUAAUAUUUCGACGUCGUCCGUUGCUGUCGGUUCGGUUAGGUUCGGUUCGGCCAUUCAAAUUUCAAAGUUAUGCAUACGAAGAUUUUUUUUGCAUUUUCUAAACGUGCUUUUAUUUGCAUUUGCAUUUGCCUGCUGGCCCCAACCCCAGCCCCAACCAUAGACCCAGACGAUUAGCCACGGGCUGCGUCAGCUUCUGCCCGCGACAGUAUUUCAUUUCAAUAUGGAAAUAUGUGCUCGUAUUUUCCACAGACUCGAGUAUUGUUUCAGCUCCGUCUUCGGUCUGCCUUCAUUAGGGGACUUUCAGACAAUGCAGCGCCGUUGUAACUGCACUCGGAUCAAAUUCAUGACACGAUUGCCAAGGCCAACUGAUAAAGAUGGAGGAGGAAAACUAAACCAAAACGAAAACGAAAAAAAGCUGUUUCGCCCAACGUGGGGCUCGAACCCACGACCCUGAGAUUAAGAGUCUCAUGCUCUACCGACUGAGCUAGCCGGGCAGUGUAACCUGCGCUGGACAAUAUAUCUUGC
rnacentral:tRNA from 1 species